rnacentral:lncRNA from 1 species
AUAGCCAAGAUGUGCACAGGAAGGGUAUAUAUGAUCUUUCUUUCAAUUGCUAAUAAUUUAUUUCAAGAGAGCCCUUUAAAGUAUCUGCUUCCCAUCCUAAGAUUUCCUGCUUCCACAUAUACACACACCUCUUACAGCAGCAAAGUGGAGUGGUUUCAAAAUGGGGAGUAAAAUGAGUUGAACCUCCUCUUUGCUUUUCAUUCUCUUUAUAUGAUCCCCUCCCCCUGAAAAAAAGACAUAUUGCCAAAGCAAUCCUAUGGGUAGGGGGAGAUAAGAACACAAAACCUGAAUCAGAACAGCCUGAUUCACGCUGGUCCAUUAAGGCAAAUGGGAUGCUGCCCCACUGACCUCAACCACCCCAUGCUCUCUGACUUCUUACUUACAACUAAUCCUGGGGGUUUUCUUCUCUUUAGUCUUGGUGUUUCAUUUUUGGAAACUAAGCAGGGAGAAAGAUGGAGACAAAACUGGAACCAGUUGGCUCAGCUUUUCAAUUGGCUCUGGUGCCACUGAAUGUUGUUACAGGUGGAACCUUGAAAGUCGAACGUAAUCCGUUCCGGAAGGACGUUCGACUUCCGAAACAUUCAAAUUCUGAGGCACAGCUUCCAACUGGCUGACAGAUAGGCUUUUUGCAGAUCGGAAGCCAUGUCAGAUGUUCGGGUUCCGAGGAACGUUAGAAAACCAUAACACUUACUUCCAGGUUUUCGGCGUUCGGGAGUCAAAACGUUCAGGAACAGAGCAGUUCGAGAACUGAGGUUCCACUGUACCCUUGCCUUCCAGCUUACCACUUCUAAUGGGCACCAGAGGCCACUGUUAUAUAUUCUGAGUGCCUGAACAGGACUGUUUUGUUUAUUAUUUGUUAGUUAUAGAAGAGAACAAGAACAUUUCAAGAGUGACACGAAAUAGCCGACAGAUACCAAAGUCACCUAAAAUCCAAAGUUAAAACAAAGUAAAGCAAUUUGGUCAUUUGAAAAGAGGAUUUGAGAAAUUCAUAGAGGAUAAGGCUAUGAAUAGCUACUAGCCAUCAUGGUUCUAUUCUACCUCCGGUGUUAAAGGCAGCAUAUCUCUGGAUUCCAGUCUCUGGGAAUCACAGGUGGGGAGAUCACUCAGGUCCUGCUUGUGGGCUUUGCAUAGGCAUCCAAUUGUCUACUGAGAAUGGGAUGCUGAACUAGAAGUUUUGCUAGGUGGGGCUUAAAUGGACCAUGUUUACAGUACCCAAACUUGGUCCAUAAGAACCCUAAAAUCAGAAGCAGCUGGAAAAGCAAAACAAACUUUCUGCUUGCUUCUUUCUUUGUUUGUAGCGAGUCCAUGCAAUGGCUUGUUUCUUUUAAAAGGGGGACUUUCUGAAUCUGAGGAGUUGGAAAUCACAGCAUGGAAGAGGACAGCAGUAAGCUAGGAAGUGCCAGCAAUUUUCCUUUUGAUAUUUUGCACCCAGCGCCACUGCCCCUCUGCCUCCCCCAUGCUAAGCCACUGCUCAGUAUGGCCCACACUGACUAGCAGCAGAUCUCCAUGGUUUCAGGCAGGGUCUUUCUCUGGAGAUGACGGAGAUUGAACCUGUGACCUUCUGCAUGCGAAGGUGUGUUCUCCACCACUGCUCUGCCUGCCUCCCAUCCCCUACUUGAGCUUGGUUUUGCUCAAAUCCUUCAAGCAUCUUUGGUGGGGGAGGAAGAGUCACAGAAUCAAAAAGUGCCCAUCUCUUUCUUCCAGAAAUACCCAAGCACAAAGUCGUCCUUUUUUCCUUUUGUCAGCAACUGUGAGCAAAUAUGUCAAAGUGAAUUUUUAAACUUGAACCAGCUGUAAGGUUAAAUCUAUUUUAAAAUAAAUCCAUCCUGAACUGAUUUCCUCACAUUGAAUGUCUGUCUUAACACUCCUUUCUUUUCUAGUGUUAAAUCAGGAAAUGGGAUAAAAGAUAAGAGGCAGAGGAGGUGAACGUGAGGGGUGGGGAGGAAGGGAGAGAGGCAGAUGGCAAACUAGGCUCUGGCUGAGAGAAAAGAACUUUUUUCUCAAAGGGGACUGGGGAAAAGACCUUGGCAACACAAGGAAACUGGGCCUUUGCAGCCAUGGUGAAUCUCACCUACCGCAGUCUAUCAGGUCAUAGUAAUACUGUUACUAUUAGCACCACCUAAUCCCUUAUAUCCCUGCUCAAUCACAGGUCUUUUGGGGAGUCGUUGUUUAUGGUCUCCCAUGGCUCAGAUGCAUAACUCGUAUAUGCCAGCAGCACUCUGUUAAGUAUUAUGGCCCCAGUUCUAUGGAAUUCCCUUUCAGGUGAGGGUCAGACAGACCUUGCUCCAUACAGAACUUCCAGCGCCUACUGAACGCUUCUUUUAUUAUUCCAACAAGCGUUUUAAAUUGAUGUUGAUUUUAUAGUUUAAAGUGUUUUUUUAUAUUUUGUAUAUUGUAUCUUUGCAACCACUUGUGGAGGCUAUUGUAGUUAACUGGUACAUUAAUGGUUCAAAUAAAUCAACAAAUAACGUCCUAGACUUGGAAGAAGAUGCUGCCAUCCAUCUUGUAGUGUGCUGGGAACAUAGGAAGCUGCCUUAUACGGGAUCAGAGCACUUGUCCAUCCAGCCAACACAGCACUCUAGCAGCAGCUCUCCAAAGGUUCAGGCAGGGGUAUCUCCCAUCCUUACUUGAAGAUGCCAGGGAAUGAGCCUAGGACCUUGUGCAUGCCAAGCAGAUGCUCUGUUGCUGAGCUGCUGAGUUGCUAUUGUGGUGUUACAAUUCAGGAUUCUUUGGGUAAGAAAUAAGUUGUUAUGAGCUAAGCUUUAGAUAAGGAGUAAACUGGUGCUUUAUCUGAGUUGUUUAUUAUAAGUGUUGGCACAUGCUUGAUUUACCAAUAAAUAAACAAAUCGUUUAUUUUAAACAUUUACAUUCCACUCCUUGUUUUUUAAAAUAAAAAUAAAAAUUGCAGAGCAGAUUACAGCAACAUCCUAAAACCAAAAGCAAUGGACCAUCUACAUCACAAUAACAAGACAUUUUCCUUUCUGAAAUUAUUCUCUUUGUGGCUGUGGUAUUAGGCUUUUGAGAACUCCCAUUAAGAGAGGGUUCUGUCUAUCCCUUGGCUGCCACUCUGUGUGUGCGAGUGCUUGUGUCAGGGAGAGUCCAGGGCACUCACAUUUCAAGCAAAGCUGUUAAGACUUGAACAGGGUAGACCAAAUAAGAGUCUAGGAGCCCAGGUCCCAGAGAGCUCCUUGUGACUCAGGGCCUGCAAAGCCUCUCUCAGACGGUGCUGUUGCCUCAGCAGCCUGCACCCAAUGUAACCUUAAUGGCAUUGCAAGCAGGGUGCUGAGGCCUUCUGAGGUUUUAUAAAGCCAGGCCAACCUGAUACUUCCUGUUAUUCCCACCACCUUUAAGGAGCUAUUUGUUCUUUCAAGGGAUAUCUUAUUCUGCACCUGCUGGCUCCUACAGCAUGGGGGUGGUGAAAGCUGUCUAGGUGAGGCAGAGCUUUCCAAACCUUGUGUCGCAACAUGUUAGCGUGUCAGCUGCAUUGUGUGGGUGUGUCACAUGCACUCUCCCCACGCUUCUCCCAAGGCUGGAAAAGGGUUAGUUCAAUCUCCAGUUUGCUAGUAAAACUGAAUUACUGUGUCGCAAAAUGAUGCAUGUCUAAAAAGUGUGCCACCAACACGGAAAGUUUUGGUGUGUUGUGUUGUCUGUGCUGGAAGAGUUGGGUAUGGACACACCCUCUGGCCUGGAUGGUCUAGGACUGGGAAGUGAUGGUUUCAAAGGCACUGCCUCCUCUUUCUCUGAGCUGGAUUGAAGAUCAUGGCCUAAGAAUAUGACAGAAUGUUUCAUGAUAUGUAUGUGUGUUGAAGUAUGUUAUUUCUAUAAUAACGUAAGUGUGUAAGUGUUUAAGUGUGUGUGUGUGUAUGUGUGAAGAGAGAGAAUAAUCUGCAUAGCUCAUCUUCCCAUACUGAAGUCAGAUACUGAACCCUUAAAACUGAGCCACCACUUGGCACAAAUUCUCAUCCAAGACCAGGGGCGAGGAGCCUACUGUGUCUCUCCUGGUGUUGUUGGACUCCAGUUCCCAUCAACCCCUGCCAGCCUUGGUCAGAGAUGAUGGGAGCUGCAGUCCAACACUGUCUGUAAGGGCACAGGGUUGCUGUGUCCAAUUCCCUUACAAUAUAUUCAAGAAGAAGAAGAAAAGAAGAAGUCCUAAACAGUAGACUCCACAACUGAUUUAUACCAAGUCAGAUCAUCGGUCCAUAUAUCUCAGUAUUGUUUACACUGACUGCCAGUGGCUCUCCAGGAUCUGAGGCAGGGAAUUCAUCUUCUCUUCCUGGGGACUGAACCAGGGAGUUUCUGCAUGCUUAAAAGAUGCACAACCACUAAGCUGCUUUUGAGCACCAAGUAAAUAGAUAUUCCUGAAUUACAGGGGGUCUGACUAGAUAACCCUCAACUCUAUGAUUCUAUGAAAGUGCUGUAAAAUCCACUAUGAGGAUCAUAAUGACGAAAAGGCAGGGAGACACUGAUUAGACUAUGAGUCUCUUUGCACAUUUCUCCCCCCUCAAUUCAUUCCUUUAUAAACUCUGGUUCUAAAUGUCUGUGGGAAGUGGAGUCCCCUCCCUUCCCUUGGAGAAAAAUACCUUCGCUAUUACUACAGCUGCAAGUAGACACUCAAGCUACAUUUUCCCCAUCUUAAUUUCAUCUCAUUUGUAUGCCCUUUUAGCCAGGCAAAAGCAAAUCCUCCUGCUUCCUUAAUAUUGCCACAUUUGGUAAUUGCAGAUGGUGCACCAUGUCCCUUUGGCUCCAUCAUCCAGCCAUCCAUUUAUCUUAUCCCCCACUUCUCUUUUAAAUGCCCUGUCUUUGUCUACACCUUUGUGUGAGGCACCUCGGAAUGAAUGUGCUUCUCUCUAUGCUGCCUCAUCAGUGUGAUUAUGGCAAGAUGUGCGAUCGCCUUUCUUCUCCAUGAUAAAAUGUUUCUCCGCAUUGUAGUUGACAAUUGCGCCAUUCUUCCGAUGCCACUCUAGCACACAGAAAAUCCUGUAUCCAAUUAAUGUCUACUAUUGCUCGCGGGUCUCCUUUCUGCCUUGCCUCUUUUCAAGCUUCCUGUUGAGUAAUGGUUGCUUCCGAUUAUAUUUCUCAGAGGUCUUAAUCUUGCAAAUGGAAUCAUAUUUGGUUAGCUCCAAAACUCCUCCCCUCAUGCACAAGCUAACUUGUGGAAACGUGAACUGGAAAGAGUUUAGAUCAAGUUUCUCUAUAAUUUAAAAUCAUUUCAGAGCACAUUCAGAAUGUAGAUGAGUUUUAAGUCUUCCCCACUCCAUAUUACACAAAUCACCAUUGUUCAGGCGGGACAGACAAAUCUGUCAGUUCUCUCCAUUUCUCCUCUCCCCACUUCCAACUCUUCAGUUUGGUCUAUCUCAUUUGUACAGCAGUUUGCAUCUUUUUGCAGUUAAAAAGUCCUCAUGGAAAUUCAUCACCAUUUUAGUGUAAUUUCUUCCAAUAUACACAGUUCUGAGAGUCAUUAUUCUGGAAUAAACUGUAUUUUUGUGUGCUAUUUUUCAUUUAAAUAUGCAUUUUAUGCACACAUUUGUAUAUAUAUUUGAGUUGGAGAACUGCAUUGCAAAAUUCAGACAAAAGCGAAUUUGGAAUGAUAGCUGCCUUUUGUUUUGGAAAGUGCAGUUUAGGUAGGAUCUGAUUAAAUUAGGAACAAAAACAGAACUUCUCCAUUACUAUUGCUGGACCAUAAUUCAAAUUGUGCUGCCAAAUUGUGGCCAAUAUCACUUUACAUCUUUUUUUGUAUAUAUGAGCAAGACCUGGAGGACAGGGGGAGGAUGCAUACAUAUCUUAGCUACUAUUGUUCUUUUUAUUUAGUAUUUGUGUGGAAGAGAUACUGUUGAUUCUUGGGAAAGAUUUAUUUCAGUGUAGCACACUCCCCUUUUCAUGAUGGCCCAGUGGGAACAGAAUUGUUUAUUUAUCUAUUUAUCACUUUUUUUUACCCCACCUUUUUUCAAGGACUUCAAGGUGUCAUGCAUGUUUCUCCCCUUCUCUAUAUAAUCCCCACAACAACCUUGUGAGGUAGGCUAGGCUGAGAGUUGGUGACUGGCACAAAGCCGAGAGGGGAUUUGAACUCAGGUCUCCUAGGUCCUAGUCCGGCGCUCUAACCACUACACCACACUGGCUCUCAGAAUUAGGUGAAGAACAGAAUUAGAUUAUUCCAACCUCUAUUCCAUUUCACUGGGUCCUCUUUAGUAUCCAAUGUCUUGCUUUUAUACUUUCAUCAGCUCUAAAUGAACAAUGAAAAUGUGGUGUUUUUUAAAAGUCAGUUGGGGUGAAUAAUUAGUGAUUCUCCGCUCACACAUUCAGUGCAAAACAACCUCAGUCUUUCUUCCUGAAUAUGAAAAAAAGCAAAGAGCCACAGUGCUUCUGGCUAGAGUGUAAUAAAAAGGGAAUCAAAACUUCAGAAGUUUUAAAGAUUUGAUAUUUUGCCAGUUAUAAUCACUAGAGCAGCUCUUCAGGGAAAAGCUUUAUUGUGCCAUUUGCCAAGGGUACUGCUGGUGGAUGUACAUUUUCCUCAAUCCCUUCUGUUUCUUUUGCUCCCUUCCCCUAUUCCUCCUCAUUUUUUGUAUCCACCUCCCAAGGCUGCUUCUUCUAGCCUCCUGCUACCUAUAUUUUCAGAUGAUUCUUGUAGAUUAUGAUGGCUGUGAUGGUGUCUGCUGAGGUCUGUCAGAACAUUUGCAGGUCACAUGAAUGACGCAGGGAUUUGGGACAAUGACAGUAUUAAAGAGAAAAUGAUUGUUUCCUUUACAUGCAUUUUGGCUAUAGUUUUAUGUCAUUGUUCUGCAACCUUGGUCCCAAAGUGUUAUUAUAUAUACUACAACUCCCACCAUCCCUCACCAUUGGUUCAGCUGGUUGGGGAUGAUGGAAUCUGUAGCCCAACAACAUAUGGGGAGCCAAGGUUGAAGAGCACUGUUUUAUGCCAUCUGCAGACAAACCUGGGAUUGAAUACCUGAGCAGUAAUAGCAUAGAGGGUCAGGCAGGAACUGAUCAGCCUCAUCCCCGAGCCAUUAACUGUUUCUAAGUGGUUGUGAGCAUUAGAGUAAUCUGCUUAUGCUGAUACAAAAUGUAAUAGUUGGAUGAAAAUUGCAUUUCGUAAAUUGCAACGAAUAUUCCUUCCAUCAU